rnacentral:misc_RNA from 1 species
GCUUCCUUUUUCUCUUUUUUUUUUACCUCCUUUGCUUUAUCUUAAUAGAGUUCCAAUUCAAUUCAAUUUGUUACUUUUGUUGUUUUUCUCUUUUCUCCUGGAGGUGGGUGUACAAUAUACUAGUUUUUGUAUCAUUAAUUCUUUUGAACUGAAUAUUUGGGGUAAGAAAAUUUUGUUAUUGAUGAAUCUCUAGGUGACUAUUUAUUAGUCGUCUAAGAAAAUGUUGAAAUAAAAAAAA